GCUUAGAGAGGGGUCAAUGUCCUAUCAGCUAGUUGGUAAGGUAAUGGCUUACCAAGGCUAAGACGGGUAGCCGGCCUGAGAGGGUGGUCGGCCACACUGGGACUGAGACACUGCCCAGACUCCUACGGGAGGCUGCAGUCGGGAAUCUUUCGCAAUGCCCGAAAGGGUGACGAAGCGACGCCGCGUGUGGGAAGAAGGCCUUCGGGUUGUAAACCACUGUCGGGAGUUAAGAAAUGUAAGGGUGUUAAUAGCAUCCUUACUUGACUAAGGCUCCAGAGGAAGCCACGGCUAACUCUGUGCCAGCAGCCGCGGUAAUACAGAGGCGGCAAGCGUUGUUCGGAAUUAUUGGGCGUAAAGAGCACGUAGGCGGCUUUGUAAGUCAGUUGUGAAAGCCUUCCGCUUAACGGAAGAACAGCAUCUGAUACUGCAAGGCUAGAGUGCGGAAGGG
rnacentral:rRNA from 1 species